GGGGAGGCAGCAGUAGGGAAUUUUCCACAAUGGACGAAAGUCUGAUGGAGCAACGCCGCGUGAACGAUGAAGGCUUUCGGGUCGUAAAGUUCUGUUGUUAGGGAAGAAACAGUGCUAUUUAAAUAAGAUAGCACCUUGACGGUACCUAACGAGAAAGCCACGGCUAACUACGUGCCAGCAGCCGCGGUAAUACGUAGGUGGCAAGCGUUGUCCGGAAUUAUUGGGCGUAAAGCGCGCGCAGGUGGCUAUGUAAGU
rnacentral:rRNA from 1 species